UACCAGCACCCCGAGUGGUCGGGACGAUUAUUGGGCCUAAAGCAUCCGUAGCCGGUUCUACAAGUCUUCCGUUAAAUCCACCCUGCUCAACAGUUGGGCUGCGGAGGAUACUAUAGAGCUAGGAGGCGGGAGAGGCAAGCGGUACUCAGUGGGUAGGGGUAAAAUCCGUUGAUCCAUUGAAGACCACCAGUGGCGAAAGCGGCU
rnacentral:rRNA from 1 species